GAAAUGACUGUGGGUGGACAGCAGGCGAUGGUGCUACUACGAGCUGUCAGUGUCUCUGAGGAACCGGGAGCUCAGACUGUGAGCUUCAUAGACCUCAUGGACGACUGAUCUCACAACCACAACCUUUAUUUGCACACCAGACCUCAGCAACGUCUGACGGCAUUUCUCAUAUUCUUGAUGCUAAUGCGGUUUUUAGUCCCCAUAAUAAACACGACAAGUGUGCUGUGUUAAUAUGACUCACUUUUCAGACGACCUCAUCUGAAUGACUGGGUACUUCUGCUGUGAUAAGGUGUGUCAGUGUUUUAACUGAAGGUUGCCACGUAUUUACGAGAAUAGUAAUUUAGUUUAGUAAUGACUUUGUAAUAGGACUGUUACAAAUAAAAGUCUGUUGUUCAUAAUGUUCAUCAUGUUUGUCGUUUGUGUAUGUAGCAAUGGGUCAGUAAACAGGAAGAUGCUAUAUUUACUCCAUCUAGUCUGUUCUACUGCUUCUCUCCACUAGAGAGUGAUGUUGUUAAACUGAUAAAGUCAGUUCUGUGUAUCAAACAAGAACUUCAACCAUCACUUGACUUCAAGCAAGAAAAAAAAUUCACGUGCAUUUUUUGUGGCUGUUUGUUUUUGUUGUUUUUUUUUUGACAGAUGACAGAACAUAUCUUAUAUCUAGAUCCUUUCUUUUGUAAUUAAGCUUGUUGUUGUUAUUUUCUUCUUGUUUCGUGAAAUUAAUAGAUAUUAUGAGCACAUAUAUAUGCAGUAUAGUCUGAUAUAUAUUUUUGAAUUAAUAAAUAUAAAUUAUAAAUUAUAUAACUAAAAUAAGACUCAGACUAUUCACUAAAGUAAAGAAGGUGCAGGUUCCUGCCUGACCCAUCGGAAACUGUGUCAUUCGUGACUUGUGGGUGUCAGGAAGUGGUGAACAUGUAGGUGAAGCCAGCCGUGCAGCUAGUUCACCAGUUCUAAGGGGAUCUGUGAAGCAUCAAGUCCUGUACAUGAUGAGACUCACACGUAAACUACAGUACACCUGUCUGAUGAUGCUGUGCUGGACUUUACGCUCCAUUCAUGGGGAAGCUGAAGCCUGGUCUCCGUCCUGUGAAGCUGACCUGAAGGUGCCGAGAGGCACCGCAUGGAAGACGGCGCCACAGCGGCCGCUGACACUCCAGUGUCCAGUCAAACACUGCGGAGAACGGCUCAACGUCACCUGGUGUAAACUCUCCAUCAACCAGUGCGACGCGGUCACUGGCACGGAGACGGUAGAAAUAAUGCAGUUCUACCAGGGACAUCUACUGAUCUCAAACCUGACCUUCAAGGUCAUUUCCAUCUCUGACGACGGCCUGUACAGAUGCUACUUAGAAGGAAGGAGGAGAGACGUCAGUCAUUCCAUCAACGUCUCCGUUUCAGACAUGAACCAAGGGGCUGAAUACUAUCACAGUCAGCCGUUUGCAGCUCGGCGGCUGAGGCCUCCUGCUCGCGACGUGCCCUGGCUGCCCUACUUCAUCAUCUGCUUCAGCGUAGCUUUCCUGGCCUUCACCAUGACGGCAUUAAGCCGCCUGAGCUCCCGCGUCUGGAGACGAACACUGAACUGCAGCUCAUCAUCACAUGAACAGGUCACGUCUCGCUGUACCAUCCCUGGCCUCCCUCAGAGGGCCGAUCCCUCCAUCCCGGUGCUGCAGGCCCACUUCCCUGUCCUCAACCACUUGGACCGUCCACGCAGCUCAGGGCCGACAGCGCCUCCGCCGCCUCCGCCUGGAGCCCAGAGCCGGGCGGACGAAGGCGACGCGCCGGCCUCCGGCGUCUACGCCGUCAUCAAGCACAAGCAGCGCGGGACGGGGGACACGCGGCCUCAGACUCAGAGCCACAGGCCGGAAUACUCCACCGUCAGUGUUUCUUGAUUUGUCGUGGACACGCUUUGAUCACAACGCGGACGGAAAGACGCGAACCGCCACAGCGCGUGAGGUCACGGAGCAGGAAAUGCAUCGAUGGACACGUUACAGCAGACGGGCUCUCUCACCCUCAUGCUCCUUACUUUUCUUAGUAUUCAUCGUUGAUUUGAGUCAUUGCACACGUUUUGGUUGUUUGUUAUGUGUUGUCGCUGGUUUGUCACUGUGGCUUCAGACCUCUCAGCUUCCUGUGACAAUAAAACAGCACUGCCCCUUUAAAAGCUGCGCCGC
rnacentral:lncRNA from 1 species